rnacentral:lncRNA from 1 species
GGCUCAAUUGCAUUUAACAUACUCAGCUCAAGUCCCCAACCAGACAUGCCAAAAUGACGUAGUUUCAUUUAAGUGGUUGAGAUUCAUUUGAUCCAAUGGCCAUAUUUCACCCAAAUCCCAAGUAUAUAAAACCUCCAAUACCCGAACUUUGCCCUCAUUUUCCCCCUUUUUCUUUUAUUUCCCCCCUCUCUCAUCACUCUCUCUUCUCCCUAUCUCUCCGCCGCCUAAACCCUAGCAUCACCGGUCGUAAAUCACCCCAUGGUGGUGGCGCACCACUAAAUUACCCCAUUUUUACACUAUUCUCUUCUUCUCUUCAUCCUCUACACUAAUCCAAACCCCAAAUCCCCAAAAUCACUCUCAAUCUCCAUAAAUACAAACCUAAUUGUAACCCUAGCUGGCACCCGCUACCGCUAACCACCAUCAAAACCCCACAAAUAUUACAUCAUCCUCUUCAUCUCCCCCCUCUCUCCACAAAUCCAAGCCCAAUUUCCUUCAAACCCCUCUCAAUCCCCCGAAUCCGGCGACCACCCCAUCUGUCUCACCGCCACUAACCAAACCACUAUCCAAACAUUGCUCGUGCACCACCAAAAUCACCACCAUUGAUCCUAUUCGUUGGUCUAUCUCGUGAAUCAAAGCACAAUUUCUCGUUGGUGAUGUCAUGAUUGACCACUGUCUCGCCAGAAUUGGCGGCCACGAUUCACCAAUUAAAAAUCAUGCUCGAAGUUUACAUCGCUGCCAUUUUGACGUUCCAUCACUGUCCGGGGGCAUUCGAGCUUAUGGUAUACCUUAAUCCUCCCCCUCCCCCCCCCCCCCUCCUUGUUUUUCUAUUUUGCUCCACGCAUAUUUUAGGUGCUAGUUUAAUUUUUAGUUUCUUUUGUUUUAUCUUUCUAGUUAGUAUGAUAUUAUUUUAUGAUUUUCAUGCUUAGUUGGUAUUUUGUUGUAUUUUGUAUGAAUUGUUGAAGUGUUAUUUUUUAUGUUAUCGCUCGUUUAAUGACGUGUUUAACCUAUCCGAACAACAUAAUCGAGCAAAAGUUUAUCAUUGUCAUGUUUUCCCCCUUCUUAGUUCACCUUUGAUUAAUCGACAAAUUAAUAAUUUUGCUUACUCUAUGUUUGAUCAUUGAUGAAUCAGUUGAUGUACUUGGUACUUGCCUUUUGUAAAUUGGCCAUUUAGUUUAGUUUGUUGACUGGUUAGGUUAAGUGUUUACAAUCGUAUUAGUCUCUUAUCAGUCCAAAUGCGGUUAACGUUUAGCCUUUUGUAGUUUAGUUACUGAUAUUGGUAAAAGCUGAAAGGUAGAUGGGUGUAAUCAUGAAUUAGGGUGCAUAAAAGGUUUGUUUUUUAUUAGUAGGGCGGCUAAAAGUACAUUUUCCUCCAUGCUUCUGCCACAGUAGGUCGAAGACUGUCAAUCUGUUAAAGUAAGUUGAAACAUCAUGUUUCCUUUACAUUUGUAGUUGAGGUUGUAUUCUGCUAGUGUAUUUGGUUGAUGAUUUAAAGCUAUGAAUAUUUCAUGUUUAGUCCAUUAAAGAUUGUUAUUAAUAAGGUGUAGAUUCUAAACUUGAAAACUUAAGGUUCUUCCUUCUUGUAUGUGAUGUGAGUUGACGAAAGAGGGGCUUUUAUUUGCAAAGAAUAGGUCUAAUGGUUAUGUGUGUAAGGUUUUAAGGUGUUGGUUCACAAGGUGCAACUGAUUUUUGUUUAGGUUAUUAACUUGGGUUUAAAGUGGCUAUUUUGUAAAGUGGUCGUGCCUGCCAUCGUGCUUUGUCAAAAGUGGUUAUGGCUGUAAAUAAAGAGGCUAGAUCUGCAACAUUGUAACAGGCUGCUGCAGAUUUGGUUAAAAUAGCACGGGCUAGCCAGUUUUCGGACUGGUCAUUCAAAAAUAGCCAAUGUUUGCCAAGUCAUUGAAAAAUAGACACUAUUUUGCCGCAACAGAGACCGAUCCAGCAUAAUAUACUGGAGUUCGGUGCACUUGUGUAUGAACUUCCAGCAUAUUAUGCUGGACCGGUAUACUUUGCUGGCUCCAGUAUAAUAUACUGGAGUUCCAGCAAAGUAUACUAGAACUCCAAACUCCAGUAUAUUAUGCUGGAGUAUUUUUCGGAUUUUGAACAGUGUUUUUUGUUCAGAUUUAUCUUUGCAUAAAAAGUAGCUAAAUUUCGAUGACUUUUGAAACUGUGGCUAUUUUUUAAUGACCAUGACCACUUGUAAAUCUGACUAUUUUUGAAUUUCUCCCGCAGAUUUGGGGUUUAAAGAGGCUGUUGGGGCCUUUGAACCUUUGCCACAAGAUGAGCCCAGUGGUGGGCUAACGGAUUUUUCUGCUUGAUCCAAAAGUAGUGUAGUGAAAGAUGUUGACCCAUUUCUCAUUUAAUAAGGAAUUGGCUCACUCUAUUAAAAUAAACAAAGUUGGUUCAAUAUUAAUCUGCCAUGUUUUCCCAAUAAGUCUAAAAAUCAGAAUUCCUUUUUUUUUAUUUUACUAAUUCAAUAAUUCAGUCACUUCCAGCAAACAAUUCCAAAAGCGUUAGGCAAAUUAUAGGCAUGGAUGUAAGCAUAUAAUUUUUUUAAAAUAUUUUGAUUAUACUAAUUUCAUCUUUUAAUUAACAACAACAAUAAUAAAAAUAAAGUAUAAAUAAGGUCCAAUAUCAAUAAUAUCCAUAUGUUGUCUUAUCACCAUUAAGCUACACAGAGGUAUUUUCUUUCGCAAUAAAGAUGAACAAUUAUUUUUUCAAAAUCUACCCCUAAAGUAAUAG